rnacentral:rRNA from 1 species
GACGAACGCUGGCGGCGUGCUUAACACAUGCAAGUCGAACGUGAUUUUUAUGGAAAGCCCUUCGGGGAUGGAAAUUAAAUGAAAGUGGCGAACGGGUGAGUAACACGUGAGCAACCUACCUUACACAGGGGGAUAGCCGUUGGAAACGACGAUUAAUACCGCAUGAGACCACAAAGCCACAUGGCUUAGGGGUAAAAGAUUUAUCGGUGUAAGAUGGGCUCGCGUCUGAUUAGCUAGUUGGAAGGGUAAAGGCCUACCAAGGCGACGAUCAGUAGCCGGUCUGAGAGGAUGAACGGCCACAUUGGAACUGAGACACGGUCCAAACUCCUACGGGAGGCAGCAGUGGGGAAUAUUGCACAAUGGGGGGAACCCUGAUGCAGCGACGCCGCGUGAGCGAAGAAGGUUUUCGAAUCGUAAAGCUCUGUC